rnacentral:rRNA from 1 species
AUUAAACGCUGGCGGCAUGCCUUACACAUGCAAGUCGAACGGCAGCACGGGGUGGUAACACUCUGGUGGCGAGUGGCGGACGGGUGAGUAAAGCAUCGGAACGUGCCCUGGAAUGGGGGAUAACGUAGCGAAAGUUACGCUAAUACCGCAUAUUCUGUGCGCAGGAAAGCAGGGGCUCGCAAGACCUUGCGUUCUGGGAUCGGCCGAUGUCGGAUUAGCUAGUUGGUGGGGUAAAGGCCUACCAAGGCGACGAUCCGUAGCGGGUCUGAGAGGAUGAUCCGCCACACUGGGACUGAGACACGGCCCAGACUCCUACGGGAGGCAGCAGUGGGGAAUUUUGGACAAUGGGCGCAAGCCUGAUCCAGCCAUGCCGCGUGAGUGAAGAAGG